GGGGCAUUAGCGCAGCGGGAGCGCACCACACUGGCAGUGUGGGGGUCAGGGGUUCAAAUCCCCUAUGCUCCA
rnacentral:tRNA from 1 species